rnacentral:misc_RNA from 1 species
AAGAGUCAUAUGUGCGGCUGAGUUUACUUGGUCGCCAUAACACUCCACCCUUUGUUUACAUAUCUUUGUUGCUUUGGCAGGCCCGCCCUUGGGCCACCGGCUCCGGCUGGUCAGCGCCUGCCAGAGGACCUAAAACUCAUGUUAAUAAUAUUGUCUGAGUACUAUAUAAUAGUUA